UAUAAUGUAUAGUAGUGGGUUGUUAGUGAUAUGUUAUAUUAUGUAAAGUAGACUAGGUUAUAAUGUAUAGUAGUGGGUUGUUAGUGAUAUGUAGAUGUUAUAUUAUGUAAAGUAGGCUAGGUUAUAAUGUAUAGUAGUGGGUUGUUAGUGAUAUGUAGAUGUUAUAUUAUGUAAAGUAGACUAGGUUAUAAUGUAUAGUAGUGGGUUGUUAGUGAUAUGUUAUAUUAUGUAAAGUAGACUAGGUUAUAAUGUAUAGUAGUGGGUUGUUAGUGAUAUGUUAUAUUAUGUAAAGUAGACUAGGUUAUAAUGUAUAGUAGUGGGUUGUUAGUGAUAUGUAGAUGUUAUAUUAUGUAAAGUAGGCUAGGUUAUAAUGUAUAGUAGUGGGUUGUUAGUGAUAUGUAGAUGUUAUAUUAUGUAAAGUAGACUAGGUUAUAAUGUAUAGUAGUGGGUUGUUAGUGAUAUGUAGAUGUUAUAUUAUGUAAAGUAGACUAGGUUAUAAUGUAUAGUAGUGGGUUGUUAGUGAUAUGUUAUAUUAUGUAAAGUAGACUAGGUUAUAAUGUAUAGUAGUGGGUUGUUAGUGAUAUGUUAUAUUAUGUAAAGUAGACUAGGUUAUAAUGUAUAGUAGUGGGUUGUUAGUGAUAUGUUAUAUUAUGUAAAGUAGACUAGGUUAUAAUGUAUAGUAGUGGGUUGUUAGUGAUAUGUUAUAUUAUGUAAAGUAGGCUAGGUUAUAAUGUAUAGUAGUGGGUUGUUAGUGAUAUGUAGAUGUUAUAUUAUGUAAAGUAGGCUAGGUUAUAAUGUAUAGUAGUGGGUUGUUAGUGAUAUGUAGAUGUUAUAUUAUGUAAAGUAGACUAGGUUAUAAUGUAUAGUAGUGGGUUGUUAGUGAUAUGUUAUAUUAUGUAAAGUAGACUAGGUUAUAAUGUAUAGUAGUGGGUUGUUAGUGAUAUGUUAUAUUAUGUAAAGUAGACUAGGUUAUAAUGUAUAGUAGUGGGUUGUUAGUGAUAUGUUAUAUUAUGUAAAGUAGACUAGGUUAUAAUGUAUAGUAGUGGGUUGUUAGUGAUAUGUAGAUGUUAUAUUAUGUAAAGUAGACUAGGUUAUAAUGUAUAGUAGUGGGUUGUUAGUGAUAUGUUAUAUUAUGUAAAGUAGACUAGGUUAUAAUGUAUAGUAGUGGGUUGUUAGUGAUAUGUAGAUGUUAUAUUAUGUAAAGUAGACUAGAUUAUAAUGUAUAGUAAU